rfam:Cavia porcellus supercont2_3 genomic scaffold, whole genome shotgun sequence.
GGUUAUAUAGCUCAGCAGUGCAGCAUCUGCCUGGCAAGCAUGAGGUUCUGAAUUCAAUUCCCAGUACAAACA